rnacentral:misc_RNA from 1 species
AGAUGACCAGGCCUUACAUAGAUGUGUUGCAGCAUAUACAUCAGAUCUAAUCUUUCUUUCAGUCAGUCUGAAUCCUCACCGAAAGAUGGGUUUCGAGACAAGUUCUGUUAGUCUGGAUCAUUCGAUGUGGUUCCACAGACCUGUGAGAGCUGAUGAUUGGAUAUUGUUUGUGAUCAACAGUCCGACUGCUUAUAAUGCACGUGGCUUUGUGUGGGGGCAAAUGUUUAAUAGGAAGGGAGAGCUCGUAGCGUCAAUUACUCAAGAGGGCUUAUUGAGGCCAGCCAGAAAACUACCUCCAUUUCGACCAAUGCUCUAAUCCAUGCCAGGUCGAAUGAGAAAAGAGGACUAGUCACUACAGGUUCAUUAGCAGUAACACUGCUGUAGAGCUCAAGUAAACACUACAGAGGUUGCGAGUCGAGCUAUGACCAUAUCUUUGUUCUAUCAUUCAGAACUGGCCUGCCAUUGUCACCUUUAUAUAUUCCUAGCCCCCGCGAAAAGAGGCAUUGAAGUUGUUACAUAGAUCGACCUAUGAUAGUUCAAGUCAAAAGUUAUUGUUCUGUUUUUUUCAAGUUUCAUCUUCUAUUAGGAUAUGAUUUGAUCUCAAGAUGUCAUUUGUUUAAUGUCUUUAGUUGACUAACACUCGCUCUUUAUUCAGGAAAAAAUAAAUCCAAUGUAAUUUCAUG